AACGAACGCUGGCGGCAGGCUUAACACAUGCAAGUCGAACGCCCCGCAAGGGGAGUGGCAGACGGGUGAGUAACGCGUGGGAACAUACCCUUUCCUGCGGAAUAGCUCUGGGAAACUGGAAUUAAUACCGCAUACGCCCUACGGGGGAAAGAUUUAUCGGGGAAGGAUUGGCCCGCGUUGGAUUAGCUAGUGGGUGGGGUAAGGGCCUACCAAGGCGACGAUCCAUAGCUGGUCUGAGAGGAUGAUCAGCCACAUUGGGACUGAGACACGGCCCAAAGUCCUACGGGAGGCGGCAGUGGGGAAUAUUGGACAAUGGGCGCAAGCUUGAUCCAGCCAUGCCGCGUGGGUGAUGAAGGCCUUAGGGUUGUAAAGCUCUUUCACCGAUGAAGAUAAUGACGGUAGUCGGAGAAGAAGCCCCGGCUAACUUCGUGCCAGCCGCCGCCGUAA
rnacentral:rRNA from 1 species